rnacentral:rRNA from 1 species
UACCGGCGGCUCGAGUGGUGGCCGAUAUUAUUGAGUCUAAAGGGUCCGUAGCCGGCUUUGCAAGUCUCUUGGGAAAUCCAGCGGCUUAACCGUUGGGCGUCCAGGGGGUACUACAUUGCUUGGGACUGGGAGAGGUAGGAGGUACUCAAGGGGUAGGAGUGAAAUCCUGUAAUCCUUUGGGGACCACCGGUGGCGAAGGCGUCCUACCAGAACAGGUCCGACGGUGAGGGACGAAAGCUAGGGGC